rnacentral:rRNA from 1 species
UACGGGGGGGGCAAGCGUUGUUCGGAAUUACUGGGCGUAAAGGGCUCGUAGGCGGCCAACUAAGUCAGACGUGAAGUCCCUCGGCUUAACCGGGGAACUGCGUCUGAUACUGGAUGGCUUGAGGUUGGGAGAGGGAUGCGGAAUUCCAGGUGUAGCGGUGAAAUGCGUAGAUAUCUGGAGGAACACCGGUGGCGAAGGCGGCAUCCUGGACCAAUUCUGACGCUGAGGAGCGAAAGCCAGGGGAGCAAACGGG